UGGUUCUGGCAUCGAUGAAGAACGCAGCGAAAUGCGAUAAGUAAUGUGAAUUGCAGAAUUCAGUGAAUCAUCGAAUUUUUGAACGCAUAUUGCACCUUAGAGUAUUCUUUAAGGUAUACUUGUUCGAGCGUCGUUUGAAUAAUAAAGCCGCAUAGCUUUUUGAUGGAAAUUUUUGGAAAUCGGUUAAUCUAACACCGGUUCCAAGUUCCAAAACAUAUUGGCAUUUGAAACAUGACAUAUCCGAAUACAGUGAAAAUGUAUGAAGUAACGCGAUGUUUACAGACGCCUAGUGAUUCUUUUCUCAAAAAUUGAAUUACACUCAUCUGAUACUCAAGUAUCAUUUAUCGUUUCGACCUCGAAUCAAGUAAGGUUACCCGCUGA
rnacentral:misc_RNA from 1 species